GAUGAACGGCUGGCGGCGUGCCUAAUACAUGCAAGUCGAACGGGGAUAGCAAUAUCCUAGUGGCGAACGGGUGAGUAACACGUAGGUAACCUGCCUUUUAGUUUGGGAUACCCAGAGGAAACUUUGGUUAAUACCGGAUAUGAGCUUUAGAGGCAUCUCUAGAGCUUGAAAGGGGCUUCAAAGCCCCGCUUUAAGAUGGACCUGCGGCGCAUUAGCUAGUUGGUGAGAUAACAGCCCACCAAGGCUCGGAUGCGUAGCCGAUCUGAGAGGAUGAACGGCCACAUUGGAACUGAGACACGGUCCAAACUCCUACGGGAGGCAGCAGUAAGGAAUUUUCGGCAAUGGGGGAAACCCUGACCGAGCAACGCCGCGUGAGUGACGAAGGUCUUUUGAUCGUAAAGCUCUGUUGUUAGGGAUGAACUAUACUUUUAGGAAAUGAGGAGUAUUUGACAGUACCUAACCAGAAAGCCACGGCUAACUACGUG
rnacentral:rRNA from 1 species